rnacentral:rRNA from 1 species
AUUCCAAGCUUAGAGUUUGAUCAUGGCUCAGAUUGAACGCUGGCGGCAUGCCUUACACAUGCAAGUCGAACGGUAACAGGUCUUCGGAUGCUGACGAGUGGCGAACGGGUGAGUAAUACAUCGGAACGUGCCCGAUCGUGGGGGAUAACGCAGCGAAAGCUGUGCUAAUACCGCAUACGAUCUACGGAUGAAAGCGGGGGAUCGCAAGACCUCGCGCGGACGGAGCGGCCGAUGGCAGAUUAGGUAGUUGGUGGGAUAAAAGCUUACCAAGCCGACGAUCUGUAGCUGGUCUGAGAGGACGACCAGCCACACUGGGACUGAGACACGGCCCAGACUCCUACGGGAGGCAGCAGUGGGGAAUUUUGGACAAUGGGCGAAAGCCUGAUCCAGCCAUGCCGCGUGCAGGAUGAAGGCCUUCGGGUUGUAAACUGCUUUUGUACGGAACGAAAAAGUCCUCUCUAAUACAGGGGGCGAAUGACGGUACCGUAAGAAUAAGCACCGGCUAACUACGUGCCAGCAGCCGCGGUAAUACGUAGGGUGCGAGCGUUAAUCGGAAUUACUGGGCGUAAAGCGUGCGCAGGCGGUUAUAUAAGACAGAUGUGAAAUCCCCGGGCUCAACCUGGGAACUGCAUUAGUGACUGUAUAGCUAGAGUGCGGCAGAGGGGGAUGGAAUUCCGCGUGUAGCAGUGAAAUGCGUAGAUAUGCGGAGGAACACCGAUGGCGAAGGCAAUCCCCUGGGCCUGCACUGACGCUCAUGCACGAAAGCGUGGGGAGCAAACAGGAUUAGAUACCCUGGUAGUCCACGCCCUAAACGAUGUCAACUGGUUGUUGGGUCUUCACUGACUCAGUAACGAAGCUAACGCGUGAAGUUGACCGCCUGGGGAGUACGGCCGCAAGGUUAAAACUCAAAGGAAUUGACGGGGACCCGCACAAGCGGUGGAUGAUGUGGUUUAAUUCGAUGCAACGCGAAAAACCUUACCCACCUUUGACAUGUACGGAAUCCUUUAGAGAUAGAGGAGUGCUCGAAAGAGAGCCGUAACACAGGUGCUGCAUGGCUGUCGUCAGCUCGUGUCGUGAGAUGUUGGGUUAAGUCCCGCAACGAGCGCAACCCUUGCCAUUAGUUGCUACGAAAGGGCACUCUAAUGGGACUGCCGGUGACAAACCGGAGGAAGGUGGGGAUGACGUCAAGUCCUCAUGGCCCUUAUAGGUGGGGCUACACACGUCAUACAAUGGCUGGUACAAAGGGUUGCCAACCCGCGAGGGGGAGCUAAUCCCAUAAAGCCAGUCGUAGUCCGGAUCGUAGUCUGCAACUCGACUACGUGAAGUCGGAAUCGCUAGUAAUCGUGGAUCAGAAUGUCACGGUGAAUACGUUCCCGGGUCUUGUACACACCGCCCGUCACACCAUGGGAGCGGGUUCUGCCAGAAGUAGUUAGCCUAACCGCAAGGAGGGCGAUUACCACGGCAGGGUUCGUGACUGGGGUGAAGUCGUAACAAGGUAGCCGUAUCGGAAGGUGCGGAUGGAUCACCUCCUUAGAUCUGGAUCCCCUCUAGAGUCGAC